rnacentral:rRNA from 1 species
GAAAGUAAAGAAGGGCGCAUGGCGGAUGCCUUGGCUCUCGGAGGCGAUGAAGGACGUGAUAAGCUGCGAUAAGCUUUGGGGAGGUGCAAAUGACCUUUGAUCCAGAGAUUUCCGAAUGGGACAACCCAAUAUCUUGAAGAGGUAUUAUCCAACGUUGUUGGAGGCUAACGCAGGGAACUGAAACAUCUUAGUACCUGCAGGAAAAGAAAAUAAACAAUGAUUCCCCCAGUAGUGGCGAGCGAACGGGGAACAGCCCAAACCAUCCAUGUUACGGCAUGGGUGGGGUUGUAGGACUACGCCGUUGCAUGAAGACAUCAGAGAAGAACUUUCUGGAAAGAAAGACCAUAGAGCAUGACAGUUGCGUAUUCGAAUGUUGUCGAAGCAUAGUAGUAUCCUGAGUAGCGCGGAGCACGAGGAAUUCUGCGUGAAUCUGCCGGGACCAUCCGGUAAGGCUAAAUACUCCCGAGAGACCGAUAGCGAACCAGUACCGUGAGGGAAAGGUGAAAAGCACUUCGAACAGAAGAGUGAAAUAGUUCCUGAAACCGUGCGCCUACAAGCGGUCGGAGCUCGUUAAUGAGUGACGGCGUGCCUUUUGCAUAAUGAACCUACGAGUUGCCUUUGCCGGCAAGGUUAAGUGUGACGACACACGUAUCCGAAGCGAAAGCGAGUCUGAACAGGGCGUAUAGUCGGCAGUGGCAGACGCGAAACCAAGUGAUCUACCCUUGGCCAGGUUGAAGGCUGGGUAACACCAGCUGGAGGACCGCACCAAUAAGCGUUGAAAAGCUUCUGGAUGAGCUGAGGGUAGGGGUGAAAGGCUAAUCAAACUUGGAGAUAGCUCGUACUCCCCGAAAUGCAUUUAGGUGCAGCCUUGCGGGUUACUGAUGUGAGGUAGAGCGACUGAUAAGAUGCGAGGGCUUCACCGCCUAUCAAGUCUUGACAAACUCCGAAUGCGCAUCAGUUCUACCGCAGGAGUGAGGGCAUGGGUGCUAAGGUCCGUGCCCGAGAGGAGAAGAAUCCGGACCACCUGCUAAGGUCCCGAAAUGACAGCUAAGUUAAACUAACGAAGUCUGACUGCUAAGACAGCUAGGAUGUUGGCUUGGAAGCAGCCAUUCAUUUAAAGAGUGCGUAACAGCUCACUAGUCGAGGAGUCGGGCGUGGAUAAUAAUCGGGUAUCAAGUUGUCUACCGAAGCAGUGGGAUCAUUUAUAUGAUCGGUAGGGGAGCAUUCCAGUCAGCGUCGAAGGCGUACCGUGAGGUAUUCUGGAGCGUCUGGAAAAGCAAAUGUAGGUAUAAGUAACGAUAAAGGGGGCGGGAAACCCCCUCGCCGAAAGACUAAGGUUUCCUGAUCAACGCUAAUCGGAUCAGGGUCAGUCGGGUCCUAAGGCUCAGCCGAACGGCGAUGCCGAUGGCAGAAACGGUUAAUAUUCCGUUACUACCUUCAGGAGUGACGUGGAGACGCAGUAGUGACAGUGCCGCCAUCUGACGGAAUAGAUGGUUGAAGGGUGUAGGAGUCGAUCAUGGCAGGCAAAUCCACCAUGAGAUCCGAACCUGACAGUAUGCCGCGUCCUUCGGGACAAGGCAAUAGUGCGCGUAAGCAUGCUGCCGAGAAAAUCCGCUAAACUUAAUCCUGGAGGUACCCGUACCGCAAACGGACACACGUAGUCGGGAUGAAUAUUCUAAGGCGCUUGAGUGAUUCACGGUUAAGGAACUAGGCAAACUGACCCUGUAACUUCGGGAUAAAGGGUCCCUACCCUUUUAUGGGAGGGCGCAGAGAAUCGGUCCAGGCAACUGUUUAACAAAAACACAGGGCUGUGCCAAAUCGAAAGAUCCAGUAUACAGCCUGACACCUGCCCGGUGCUGGAAGGUUAAGAGGAGAUGUCAUCGAUGAGAGAAGCGUUGAAUUGAAGCCCCAGUAAACGGCGGCCGUAACUAUAACGGUCCUAAGGUAGCGAAAUUCCUUGUCGGGU